rnacentral:rRNA from 1 species
CGUUAGCGGCGGACGGGUGAGUAACACGUGGGUAACCUACCUAUAAGACUGGGAUAACUUCGGGAGACCGGAGCUAAUACCGGAUAAUAUUUCGAACCGCAUGGUUCGAUAGUGAAAGAUGGUUUUGCUAUCACUUAUAGAUGGACCCGCGCCGUAUUAGCUAGUUGGUGAGGUAACGGCUUACCAAGGCGACGAUACGUAGCCGACCUGAGAGGGUGAUCGGCCACACUGGAACUGAGACACGGUCCAGACUCCUACGGGAGGCAGCAGAC